UACGGAGGAUCCAAGCGUUAUCCGGAUUCAUUGGGUUUAAAGGGUGCGUAGGCGGAAUUGUAAGUCAGUGGUGAAAGCCUGCAGCUUAACUGCAGAAUUGCCAUUGAUACUGCAAAUCUUGAGUACAUUUGAUGUGGGCGGAAUGUGUCAUGUAGCGGUGAAAUGCUUAGAUAUGACACAGAACACCGAUUGCGAAGGCAGCUCACAAACUGUAACUGACGCUGAGGCACGAAAGCGUGGGGAUCGAACAGG
rnacentral:rRNA from 1 species